ACAAUAAGCACCCAUACAUGAAAUGAAACAGCAGUCCUGAGAAAGUACUUUAGUCUGGCUUCAAGUUUGGGUGGAUUUAAACCCCCUGCAUCCAAGUUACCUAUUUGCCUUUAUGACCAGAAAUUAGAAAAUCGUGAGAACUAACUGGAAAAAAUAGGCCUGCAAAGGACCAGCAUGUGAUUCAAACCCUCAAUGACUGCAAUGCACAAUGCAAGGAGAGAUUCAGAGGCUGGAAUAGGGGCUGCUGCUUCCACAGGAGAACAGCUCUUGAGGCUGCAAAGUGAGGUGAGGCAUCAUCUCCUCCCUAGCA